GAAAGCCUGACGGAGCAACGCCGCGUGCGGGAGGAAGGCCUGUGGGUUGUAAACCGCUUUUCUCAGGGAAGAAGUACUGACGGUACCUGAGGAAUCAGCAUCGGCUAACUCCGUGCCAGCAGCCGCGGUAAUACGGAGGAUGCAAGCGUUAUCCGGAAUUAUUGGGCGUAAAGCGUCCGCAGGCGGCUGUUCAAGUCUGCUGUCAAAGCCUGGGGCUUAACCUCGGAUAGGCAGUGGAAACUGAGUAGCUAGAGUGCGGUAGGGGUAGAGGGAAUUCCCAGUGUAGCGGUGAAAUGCGUAGAUAUUGGGAAGAACACCAGUGGCGAAGGCGCUCUACUGGACCGCAACUGACGCUGAGGGACGAAAGCUAGGGGAGCGAAAGGGAUUAGAUACCCCUG
rnacentral:rRNA from 1 species